rnacentral:rRNA from 1 species
CGGAGGGUGCAAGCGUUAUCCGGAUUCACUGGGUUUAAAGGGUGCGUAGGUGGGUUGGUAAGUCAGUGGUGAAAUCUCCGAGCUUAACUUGGAAACUGCCAUUGAUACUAUCAGUCUUGAAUACCGUGGAGGUCAGCGGAAUAUGUCAUAUAGCGGUGAAAUGCUUAGAUAUGACAUAGAACACCAAUUGCGAAGGCAGCUGGCUACACGAAUAUUGACACUGAGGCACGAAAGCGUGGGGAUCAAACAGGAUUAGAUACCCUGGUAGUCCACGCCCUAAACUAUGGAUACUCGACAUACGCGAUACACUGUGUGUGUCUGAGCGAAAGCAUUAAGUAUCCCACCUGGGAAGUACGAUCGCAAGAUUG